rnacentral:rRNA from 1 species
UACGUAGGGUGCAGGCGUUAAUCGGAAUUUCUGGGCGUAAAGCGUGCGCAGGCGGUUUGCUAAGACAGGUGUGAAAUCCCCGGGCUUAACCUGGGAACUGCGCUUGUAACUGGCAAGCUUGAGUGUGGCAGAGGGGGGUGGAAUUCCACGUGUAGCAGUGAAAUGCGUAGAGAUGUGGAGGAACACCGAUGGCGAAGGCAGCCCCCUGGGCUAACACUGACGCUCAUGCACGAAAGCGUGGGGAGCAAACAGG